rnacentral:rRNA from 1 species
AUGAGGGCCGAGGGCGGUGGGCUGGGUUUCCUCUUCAUGUCAGUGUCAAACUACACUGCUCAGUUAUGGAAGAAGAAGGCCGAUUGCGAUGGUGUUGCUUCAUGGGAGCUUGGAAGAACUAUUCAAAUGGACAAGCUACUUUCUAUCAAGUCGGAGGAUAAAAACCCCAUAGCCCUAUCGAUACUAGGGUUUGUUGAGCAGAAUAAUGUGGUGUUAAUUUGGACAGUUAAUGGCAUCUUCACGAUCCACCUUGAGUCAUUGAAUUUCAAGAAGCUUGCCGAAACCACCGCAAGACGUCCUCACUAUCAUCCAUUCGAAAGUGUCCACACUUCAGGU